rnacentral:rRNA from 1 species
GGUUAAGCGACUAAGCGUACACGGUGGAUGCCCUGGCAGUCAGAGGCGAUGAAGGACGUGCUAAUCUGCGAUAAGCGUCGGUGAGGUGAUAUGAACCGUUAUAACCGGCGAUUUCCGAAUGGGGAAACCCAGUGUGUUUCGACACACUAUCAUUAACUGAAUCCAUAGGUUAAUGAGGCGAACCGGGGGAACUGAAACAUCUAAGUACCCCGAGGAAAAGAAAUCAACCGAGAUUCCCCCAGUAGCGGCGAGCGAACGGGGAGGAGCCCAGAGCCUGAAUCAGUGUGUGUGUUAGUGGAAGCGUCUGGAAAGGCGCGCGAUACAGGGUGACAGCCCCGUACACAAAAAUGCACAUAUUGUGAGCUCGAUGAGUAGGGCGGGACACGUGGUAUCCUGUCUGAAUAUGGGGGGACCAUCCUCCAAGGCUAAAUACUCCUGACUGACCGAUAGUGAACCAGUACCGUGAGGGAAAGGCGAAAAGAACCCCGGCGAGGGGAGUGAAAAAGAACCUGAAACCGUGUACGUACAAGCAGUGGGAGCCUCUUAAUGGGGUGACUGCGUACCUUUUGUAUAAUGGGUCAGCGACUUAUAUUCUGUAGCAAGGUUAACCGAAUAGGGGAGCCGAAGGGAAACCGAGUCUUAACUGGGCGUUAAGUUGCAGGGUAUAGACCCGAAACCCGGUGAUCUAGCCAUGGGCAGGUUGAAGGUUGGGUAACACUAACUGGAGGACCGAACCGACUAAUGUUGAAAAAUUAGCGGAUGACUUGUGGCUGGGGGUGAAAGGCCAAUCAAACCGGGAGAUAGCUGGUUCUCCCCGAAAGCUAUUUAGGUAGCGCCUCGUGAAUUCAUCUCCGGGGGUAGAGCACUGUUUCGGCAAGGGGGUCAUCCCGACUUACCAACCCGAUGCAAACUGCGAAUACCGGAGAAUGUUAUCACGGGAGACACACGGCGGGUGCUAACGUCCGUCGUGAAGAGGGAAACAACCCAGACCGCCAGCUAAGGUCCCAAAGUCAUGGUUAAGUGGGAAACGAUGUGGGAAGGCCCAGACAGCCAGGAUGUUGGCUUAGAAGCAGCCAUCAUUUAAAGAAAGCGUAAUAGCUCACUGGUCGAGUCGGCCUGCGCGGAAGAUGUAACGGGGCUAAACCAUGCACCGAAGCUGCGGCAGCGACGCUUAUGCGUUGUUGGGUAGGGGAGCGUUCUGUAAGCCUGUGAAGGUGUGCUGUGAGGCAUGCUGGAGGUAUCAGAAGUGCGAAUGCUGACAUAAGUAACGAUAAAGCGGGUGAAAAGCCCGCUCGCCGGAAGACCAAGGGUUCCUGUCCAACGUUAAUCGGGGCAGGGUGAGUCGACCCCUAAGGCGAGGCCGAAAGGCGUAGUCGAUGGGAAACAGGUUAAUAUUCCUGUACUUGGUGUUACUGCGAAGGGGGGACGGAGAAGGCUAUGUUGGCCGGGCGACGGUUGUCCCGGUUUAAGCGUGUAGGCUGGUUUUCCAGGCAAAUCCGGAAAACCAAGGCUGAGGCGUGAUGACGAGGCACUACGGUGCUGAAGCGACAAAUGCCCUGCUUCCAGGAAAAGCCUCUAAGCAUCAGGUAACAUCAAAUCGUACCCCAAACCGACACAGGUGGUCAGGUAGAGAAUACCAAGGCGCUUGAGAGAACUCGGGUGAAGGAACUAGGCAAAAUGGUGCCGUAACUUCGGGAGAAGGCACGCUGAUAUGUAGGUGAAGCGACUUGCUCGUGGAGCUGAAAUCAGUCGAAGAUACCAGCUGGCUGCAACUGUUUAUUAAAAACACAGCACUGUGCAAACACGAAAGUGGACGUAUACGGUGUGACGCCUGCCCGGUGCCGGAAGGUUAAUUGAUGGGGUUAGCGGUAACGCGAAGCUCUUGAUCGAAGCCCCGGUAAACGGCGGCCGUAACUAUAACGGUCCUAAGGUAGCGAAAUUCCUUGUCGGGUAAGUUCCGACCUGCACGAAUGGCGUAAUGAUGGCCAGGCUGUCUCCACCCGAGACUCAGUGAAAUUGAACUCGCUGUGAAGAUGCAGUGUACCCGCGGCAAGACGGAAAGACCCCGUGAACCUUUACUAUAGCUUGACACUGAACAUUGAGCCUUGAUGUGUAGGAUAGGUGGGAGGCUUUGAAGUGUGGACGCCAGUCUGCAUGGAGCCGACCUUGAAAUACCACCCUUUAAUGUUUGAUGUUCUAACGUGGGCCCCUAAUCGGGGUUGCGGACAGUGUCUGGUGGGUAGUUUGACUGGGGCGGUCUCCUCCUAAAGAGUAACGGAGGAGCACGAAGGUUGGCUAAUCCUGGUCGGACAUCAGGAGGUUAGUGCAAUGGCAUAAGCCAGCUUGACUGCGAGCGUGACGGCGCGAGCAGGUGCGAAAGCAGGUCAUAGUGAUCCGGUGGUUCUGAAUGGAAGGGCCAUCGCUCAACGGAUAAAAGGUACUCCGGGGAUAACAGGCUGAUACCGCCCAAGAGUUCAUAUCGACGGCGGUGUUUGGCACCUCGAUGUCGGCUCAUCACAUCCUGGGGCUGAAGUAGGUCCCAAGGGUAUGGCUGUUCGCCAUUUAAAGUGGUACGCGAGCUGGGUUUAGAACGUCGUGAGACAGUUCGGUCCCUAUCUGCCGUGGGCGCUGGAGAACUGAGGGGGGCUGCUCCUAGUACGAGAGGACCGGAGUGGACGCAUCACUGGUGUUCGGGUUGUCAUGCCAAUGGCACUGCCCGGUAGCUAAAUGCGGAAGAGAUAAGUGCUGAAAGCAUCUAAGCACGAAACUUGCCCCGAGAUGAGUUCUCCCUGAGACUUAGAGUCUCCUGAAGGAACGUUGAAGACGACGACGUUGAUAGGCCGGGUGUGUAAGCGCAGCGAUGCGUUGAGCUAACCGGUACUAAUGAACCGUGAGGCUUAACCUU